rnacentral:snRNA from 1 species
AGCUUUGCGCAGUGGCAGUAUCGUAGCCAAUAAGGUUUAUCCAAGGUGCGAUUAUUGCUAAUUUUGUUAACUUUUCUACUGACUGACCCAGCCAGGUGCUCUGUGAAUCUUUA